rnacentral:snRNA from 1 species
AUGCUCUGGUUUCUCUUCAUAAUGAAUGAAUCUUUCACCUUUUAUUAAAGAUUUCCAUAGAGAGGAACAGUUAGGAGUUUAUAAUCAAAUUUUUUGAUGUCCUGCUUAGGCAGGGCU